rnacentral:lncRNA from 1 species
AGUUACUGCUUAUUCAAAUUCAGUAUAGUUUAGCAGAGGUAAAAACCUGGGCUUUAAGUCAGGUUUUCACACAGUGCCUCUCUCUUUUAAAAAUUCAUAAUUGACUGGCUUAUCUUACAAAAUAUGCUUCGACAUAUGGUUUGGGGACUUUGGCAAUAACAAGAAAGAAAAACACCCAGUGGUAAUUAUUAAUGGUGCUUAAUCAUCACUUUGACAAUGUUGAGAACAUGUAACACCCUAAAAAGCCAUAAGCUCCCAUCUGUAGAUGCCCAGAGCAUGCUGCACUUAUCGAGUCCCUUCUGCUGCUUGCUGAGCAAGAAAACCACAGAGCAGGAUCUGUCACAUGCGCCUAGUCCUGGCUUCUAGACCAUAGCAGAGUGUAGUCCUGACAGCUGCUUCACAGCCUGCAUUUUAACUUUUUAACUUAAGCUUUUGCAUUGGUGACCUGGGGAGGCUUAGUCAUCAUUUGUUUUGAUCAGCUCAGUUCUUUGCAGCAUGCUUAUACCAAAAGCAGAAACUAUCGUUGGAAUGCACAGCAGGGACAGGCCCUACUGUCUCUUAGAAUCAGCUCAGGUGUUGAGACUCUUAUUGGGUAGGAGGAGGAGUGGAUUUGUUGAAAACCUGGUCCAGCUCUGCUAUUUCCUUGCUUUGCACUUGGGCAUUCACUACAAAGCCUCAAUGUCUGUCUGUAUCUAUGAAAUGGGGUUUCAUUAGCAUCUUCCCUAUUUAUUUGGUCCCCUCAAUGGCAAUGCUCCCUUUCAGUUCAUGUUCUAGCCAAUGAAUUCUAUGCUCAUGGUACAUACGGACAUAGGUUUUAAGAUGCACUGGAGUAAGUGAAGAAAGCUACUUUUAAUAUAUUCUACACAUACUUUUAUUCACUCUUCUGUUUAUAUAACAUGGUUGGUUUUCACCACUUUUCUGUUGAAGGAGCUUUAAGCAUAUACCUACCCUGGUAGAGAUUAUAUUCUAGAAGAAGACCUCCACUAGAAAUGAUUCAGAACUUAGGGGUCCUUACUGCACUUGUGUAAUUCAGGUAUUCAGUUCCCAUCACCCAUGUCAGAAGAAUUGGAACUCCCUCAAGCUCCAGUUCCAAGGUAUAUGAUGCCCUUUACCAGAGUCUGCAGGUACUGCCUCAUUCAUGAUCUACAUACAGGUACACAAAGACACACAGAAACCUGAACACAUAUGUUAGAAAUUGAACCCAAAGUCUCAGAAAAGAAUUCACACAGGGUAAUCGAUUAGCUGUGGCAUGCUUCUAGAGAUCUGGAAAAGAAAAGGUCAUGACUGAGUAUAAACCAAAUCUUUACAUUUGGGCUUUUCUCAAGCUAUUAUAACUUUAGACAUUCAUCUAACCAUCCAUCCAUCCAUCCAUCCAUCCAUCCAUCCAUCCAUCCAUUCAUCCAUCCACCCACCCAUCAAUAUUUUGAGAUAGGGUCUCCUGUUGAAGUCAAAGUUUAUAUCAAAUUCACUAUCUUCUGUUCCAGACUCCUGAGUAUACAAAUUGUCUGCCUUCCUAUCUAUGUUUGGCUGAGCAGUCUUGAUUUUAGUGUGUGUGUAUAGUGUUUCCCCAUUAGUCUAUAGUGCUCAGGUCUUCCUGUUCCUGAUCAUCCCUGUCUCUCUGAAGUAAUAUGUGCCAUUUGAUGUCUGUGUUCCUAAGAGCUUUAGUCAUGUUGGUGGCCAUGCAUAGCAACAAAGGGAGAUGCUAGAGCACUAGGUGACUGCACUGGAAGGGGGCUCUGCUGACUCCUAGGCUUGUGAUAUGAAAGAGGAACAGUUUAGUACUGGCAUGAUGUGGAGGGAGCAAGGCUGGUUUCAGGAGAACAGAAGGCACCACUCCAUUCCAGGUCAGUGUGCCUAGGAGUGUAUGCAAAAUGACAAAAUAUGAGCAAGAAGACUUGUGCAGAGGGAAAAGAUGUAGCAUAAACACUGAAAGCCAGCUCAGAUCCAGCAACAUUGCC